rnacentral:rRNA from 1 species
UGCAUGUCUAAGUGCAAGCCGUCCUGUACGGUGAAACCGCGAAAGGCUCAUUAAAUCAGUUAUGGUUCCUUAGAUCGUACCCACGUUACAUGGAUAACUGUGGUAAUUCUAGAGCUAAUACAUGCCCAUAGAGCUCCGACCAGCGUUCCAGUUGUUUGGCGGUUCGCCCGUCAUCGCUGGACGUUCGGAAGGAGCGCUUUUAUUAGAUCAAAACCGGCCAAGCGCGUCGUUGGCGCAUUCGUGCGCGUUCGGCGCGUAAGUGGCCCGCGCAAAGACUUGACGACUCUGAAUAACUUCGAGCUGAUCGUACGGUCUUAGUGCCGGCGACGUAUCUUUCAAAUGUCUGCCUUAUCAACUGUCGACGGUAGGUUCUACGCCUACCGUGGUGGUAACGGGUAACGGGGAAUCAGGGUUCGAUUCCGGAGAGGGAGCCUGAGAAACGGCUACCACAUCCAAGGAAGGCAGCAGGCGCGCAAAUUAUCCACUCCCAGUUCGGGGAGAUAGUGACGAAAAAUAACGAUACGGGACUCAUCCGAGGCCCGGUAAUCGGAAUGAGUACACUUUAAAACCUUGGUCACACGAGGAUCAAUUGGAGGGCAAGUCU